GGGGGAUAUUGCGCAAUGGGGGCAACCCUGACGCAGCAACGCCGCGUGAAGGAUGAAGGUUUUCGGAUUGUAAACUUCUUUUAUUAAGGACGAAACUUGACGGUACUUAAUGAAUAAGCUCCGGCUAACUACGUGCCAGCAGCCGCGGUAAUACGUAGGGAGCAAGCGUUGUCCGGAAUUACUGGGUGUAAAGGGAGCGUAGGCGGGAUCGCAAGUCAGAUGUGAAAACUAUGGGCUUAACCCAUAAACUGCAUUUGAAACUGUGGUUCUUGAGUGAAGUAGAGGUAAGCGGAAUUCCUAGUGUAGCGGUGAAAUGCGUAGAUAUUAGGAGGAAUAUCAGUGGCGAAGGCGGCUUACUGGGCUUUAACUGACGCUGAGGCUCGAAAGCGUGGGAGCAAACAGGAUUAGAUACCCUGGUAGUCCACGCCGUAAACGAUGAUUACUAGGUGUGGGGGGACUGACCCCUUCCGUGCCGCAGCAAACGCAAUAAGUAAUCCACCUGGGGAGUACGACCGCAAGGUUGAAACUCAAAGGAAUUGACGGGGGCCCGCACAAGCAGUGGAGUAUGUGGAUUAAUUCGAAGCAACGCGAAGAACCUUACCAGGUCUUGACAUCGUAUGCAUACCUCAGAGAUGAGUGAAAUCUCUUCGGAGACAUAUAGACAGGUGGUGCAUGGUUGUCGUCAGCUCGUGUCGUGAGAUGUUGGGUUAAGUCCCGCAACGAGCGCAACCCUUACUGUUAGUUGCUACGCAAGAGCACUCUAGCAGGACUGCCGUUGACAAAACGGAGGAAGGUGGGGAUGACGUCAAAUCAUCAUGCCCCUUAUGACCUGGGCCUCACACGUACUACAAUGGCUGUUAACAGAGGGAUGCAAAGCCGCGAGGUGGAGCGAACCCCUAAAAGCAGUCUUAGUUCGGAUUGUAGGCUGCAACCCGCCUACAUGAAGUCGGAAUUGCUAGUAAUCGCAGAUCAGCAUGCUGCGGUGAAUACGUUCCCG
rnacentral:rRNA from 1 species